rnacentral:rRNA from 1 species
UACAGAGGUCUCAAGCGUUGUUCGGAUUCAUUGGGCGUAAAGGGUGUGUAGGUGGCGCCGUAAGUCGGGUGUGAAAUUUCGGAGCUUAACUCCGAAACUGCAUUCGAUACUGCGGUGCUUGAGGACUGGAGAGGAGACUGGAAUUCAUGGUGAGCAGUGAAAUGCGUAGAGAUCAUGAGGAAGACCAGUGGCGAAGGCGGUCUCUGGACAGUUCCUGACACUGAGGCACGAAGGCCCAGGGAGCAAACGGG